UUUUUUGUUUUAAUUUUUUUUUAUAUUCUCUUUGAUGAGAUUGUCCCUUUUUUUCCUUCUUUCAUUUUCAUUUUUUUUAUGUAUUUGUUUUAAAUAAUUUUAAUUCUUUUAGAGUGAACAAGGUAAGUUAUUCCUUUUUUUGCAAUUUUCAUUUGGGUUUGGUCAGACCCCAAAUUUCAGAAGACGUCCUAUUUUAUUUGUUUUAAUUGAUUAAAAGACAAUAUUAUCUACACUUUAAAUGGUUUACUAACGA
rnacentral:misc_RNA from 1 species